rnacentral:sRNA from 1 species
CGGCUGCAGCGCGCAUUUGGGCUCCGAGGAAGUUGACCGAGGCGGCUGCCGCAGGAUCCCGGGUCCGGAUUGCACGAAGCCCGCGCGGCCGUCUCCUCCGCGCGCCACCCCGGCGCCUCCCGCGAGCUCCACUUCCCAUCUGCUAUUGUUUCCGAUUGUUUUCCGGUGGCGAGCCCGGCUCCGAAACUUACAAAGUGUUGGAUUUCCCCUGUUCGAACUGAGGGACUGCAGACCGCCUCUGGGUAGCUGGAUGAAGCCCACCCCGUCCCCUUCUGGAGUGCCCGUGCGCAGCGGAGAUGCCACCUUCCCCAAAGCUAUGGACAACGUGACGGUCCGGCAGGGGGAGAGCGCCACCCUCAG